AGAGUUUGAUCAUGGCUCAGGACGAACGCUGGCGGCGUGCUUAACACAUGCAAGUCGAGCGGACCUUCGGGUCAGCGGCGAACGGGUGAGUAACACGUGGGCAACCUGCCCCAGACUCUGGAAUAACUCCGGGAAACCGGGGCUAAUGCUGGAUAUGACACUGCCGGGCAUCUGGUGGUGUGGAAAGAUUUAUCGGUCUG
rnacentral:rRNA from 1 species